AGUGAAUAGAUACCCGGGUAGUCCACGCCCUAAACGAUGACAACUGGCUUUCCGGAGUAUCGACCCUCUGGGAGGCGAAAGCUAAACGCGUUAAGUUGUCCGCCUGGGUAGUACGGCCGCAAGGCUAAAACUCAAAGGAAUAGACGGGGGCUUGCACAAGCGGUGGAGCGUGUGGCUUAAUUCGUCGCUAAGCGAAGAACCUUACCAGGGCUAGAAAUCCUACUGCACGUCUAGCGAAAGCUAGAAAGCCUUCGAGGGUGUAGGACAGGUGAUGCAUGGCUGUCGUCAGUUCGUGGUUUGAAUCGUUCCCUUCAGUGGGGUAACGAGCGCAACCCUCGUUGCCAGUUACAAGUGUCUGGCGAGACUGCCCCUCGACGGGGGUAGGAAGGUGAGGAUGACGCCAAGUCAGCAUGUCCCUCUGAUGUCCUGGGCUGCACACGCGCUACAAUCG
rnacentral:rRNA from 1 species